AAGAUUGUGAAUGAUGACAUCACUACAUUCAUCGCUGCUGUUUGCCUAAUGUUCGGCAGUUAUUACUGUUUCAAUAUACACUACCCUACUGAACUGGCAUCAGUGCUUGAAUUUUUGCAAAGGUGCUUCUUCAUCAUCAAUCCUGAAAAGGGCACAAAGGUUGUGGAAAAGAAGAACAAAAAACGACUCCCAGUGAACCCAAGAGUCUUCACCUUAAUCUCUGACCUUUCUGAUCACGAGUGGCGAGAGACCUCGUAAAGGUGGCCUGCAACGGAAACGGUUUCCAUGUUUAAACUUUUGUUAAACGUUGAAAUGUAUACUCUCUAAGCACUUGUGUUGUGCUUUGUUCUGCUUUAGUAGUUAUUAUUGUAAAUAUUCGACAACCUUUAUAUAUUCCCAAGCUCAGUUUGAAGUGGCAGUUAGGUAACAGAAAUGUUUUAAACUCUGAAUCUAAAUUUUAAAUGCGUAGUCUGAUGCUGAUUUUAAGACUGAUCUUAAGCCAUUGUAUACUUCUGAUAAAACACAAGAACAGAAAAAAAACUGUAAUGUUGUUUGAAAUGCCUGCCAGUCUUCAUUAAAAAUACUUGGGACCACUUGA